rnacentral:rRNA from 1 species
ACUGGCAAGCUUGAGUCUCGUAGAGGGGGGUAGAAUUCCAGGUGUAGCGGUGAAAUGCGUAGAGAUCUGGAGGAAUAUCGGUGGCGAAGGCGGCCCCCUGGACGAAGACUGACGCUCAGGUGCGAAAGCGUGGGGAGCAAACAGGAUUAGAUACCCUGGUAGUCCACGCCGUAAACGAUGUCGACUUGGAGGUUGUGCCCUUGAGGCGUGGCUUCCGGAGCUAACGCGUUAAGUCGACCGCCUGGGGAGUACGGCCGCAAGGUUAAAACUCAAAUGAAUUGACGGGGGCCCGCACAAGCGGUGGAGCAUGUGGUUUAAUUCGAUGCAACGCGAAGAACCUUACCUGGUCUUGACAUCCAC